GUUACCGUAGGAGUCCCCGGACCUGCCCGGGCGGAGGAUGCGGGCGGAGCCGUCCUCACCUGCGCCGCACAGGGGCCGAACCAGGCCGCGCCCAGGGGCGGAGCCUGCGCCCCCCACCGCGUGGAGCGAGCCAGGUGAGCACGCCUGCGCAGUCGGGCCGUAAACAAGCCCGCCCCUGCCCCUCGGCCUGCCUCCGCCGGGGCCGGCUCGCGGGUGGGCGGGGCCAGGAGGAAGGGGCGGGGGGAGCGCGCGAGGCCCGGACGGCGCCUGCGCGGUGGGCGUGAUCCGGGCACUUAGGGCAGGAUGAACGCUGCUUUCCAAGAUGGCGACGGAGGGAGGAGGGAAGGAGAUGAACGAGAUUAAGACCCAAUUCACCACCCGGGAAGGUCUGUACAAGCUGCUGCCGAACUCGGAGUACAGCCGGCCCAACCGGGUGCCCUUCAACUCGCAGGGAUCCAACCCUGUCCGCGUCUCCUUCGUAAACCUCAACGAUCAGUCUGGCAACGGUGACCGCCUCUGCUUCAAUGUGGGCCGGGAGCUCUACUUCUAUAUCUACAAGGGGGUCCGCAAGACCUGGGUUCCAAAUCCAGUCCUGCCACGUUCUAGGCUGCUGACUUGAGUAAACCAAUAGAUAAAAGGAUAUACAAAGGAACACAGCCUACUUGUCAUGACUUCAACCACCUAACAGCCACAGCAGAAAGUGUCUCUCUCCUAGUGGGCUUUUCUGCAGGCCAAGUCCAGCUUAUAGACCCAAUCAAAAAAGAAACUAGCAAACUAUUUAAUGAGGAAAGACUAAUAGACAAGUCACGAGUAACCUGUGUCAAAUGGGUUCCCGGUUCGGAAAGCCUUUUCCUAGUAGCCCAUUCGAGUGGGAACAUGUACCUGUAUAAUGUGGAGCACUCUUGUGGCACCACAGCCCCCCACUACCAGCUCCUGAAGCAGGGCGAGAGCUUCGCCGUGCACACUUGCAAGAGCAAAUCCACGAGGAACCCUCUCCUCAAGUGGACGGUGGGCGAGGGGGCCCUCAACGAGUUUGCUUUCUCCCCAGAUGGCAAGUUCUUGGCGUGCGUGAGCCAGGACGGGUUUCUGCGGGUGUUCAACUUUGACUCUGUGGAGCUGCACGGCACCAUGAAAAGCUACUUUGGAGGCUUGCUGUGCGUGUGCUGGAGCCCGGACGGCAAGUACAUCGUCACGGGGGGCGAGGAUGAUCUGGUGACAGUCUGGUCUUUUGUAGACGGCCGAGUGAUAGCUCGAGGCCACGGGCACAAGUCCUGGGUCAGCGUGGUGGCGUUUGACCCCUACACCACGAGUGUAGAAGAAAGCGACCCUAUGGAGUUCAGUGGCAGUGACGAGGACUUCCAGGACCUGCUCCACUUUGGCAGAGACCGAGCAAACAGUACCCAGUCCAGGCUGUCCAAGCGGAAUUCCACGGAGAGCCGCCCCGUCAGUGUCACGUAUCGGUUUGGCUCUGUGGGCCAGGACACGCAGCUCUGCUUGUGGGACCUCACGGAAGAUAUCCUUUUCCCUCACCAGCCCCUCUCCAGGGCACGGACACACACAAAUGUCAUGAAUGCCACAAGCCCUCCAGCCGGGAGCACUGGGAACAGCGUCUCGACGCCUGGCAGCUCUGCGCCCCCCCCUCUACCGCGGUCCAAUAGCCUCCCACAUUCCACUGUCUCCAACGCCGGCAGCAAGAGCAACGUCGCCGAUGGGGCCAUCGCGUCUGGGGUCAGCAAAUUCGCAACACUCUCCCUACACGAUCGGAAGGACCGGCACCACGAGAAAGAUCACAAGCGAAACCAUAGCAUGGGACACAUUUCUAGCAAGAGCAGUGACAAACUGAACCUAGUUACCAAAACCAAAACGGACCCAGCUAAAACUCUGGGCACGCCCCUGUGUCCUCGAAUGGAAGACGUUCCCUUGUUAGAGCCGCUCAUCUGUAAAAAGAUAGCACACGAAAGGCUGACUGUGUUGAUUUUUCUUGAAGACUGUGUAGUCACUGCUUGUCAGGAGGGGUUUGUUUGCACAUGGGGAAGGCCUGGGAAAGUGGUAAGUUUGAAUCCUUAACGCUGCACCAGACCGAGAACUUGAGUAGGUAGUGAUUUUUUUCCUUGUGGGAGGGGUGGGUGUACAAUGAAUGAAUGACACUUCUUAAUGUAAAUCUAAAUGCAUCAGAGCCAUACUUUUGGAUACUGCAUGCCAUGUAAUUCUGAAUCAUUUGAUAAUUCACCUUAGAACGUUUAAAAAAUAUAAUCAAACUAAUUGCCAGCCAAGUCCGUCACCCUCCUGGGAGUAUAUAGAGUCCCAAGGUGAGCGUUCCUGUCUUAGACUAUUUCGAUUUUAGGAAAAUCAUGACAGUGUGGGGAAACAAUGAAUUAAAAAGCUAAAAUUAAAAUUUCUGCUUUAACUGGAAUAUUUUUGCUUAACUACUCAAUUAGAAAAUUGUACACCUGAUCAGAGCGUGUUCAGCACGGACGGCCACUGACUGUCAUUUAUAGUCCAGUUUUUUAUCUUAAUCAUAAAAUGUUUAGGAAUCUAUGAAAUUUAACUUUAGGAACAAAGCGUUCAGCAGGGUUGAUUGAUAUUAUUUUUACAUUGUUCUGGCAAUCCACAGAAAGAGAAGAGCCUUAAUUUUUAAAACCCAUUUUAGUCAUUUUAUGACAAUUAAAAUUGUUUAAUAAACAUCUUUUUUCAAAGAAGCAGUUUGUACCACUUUGAUUGAGAUUCUGUGCACUAAAUAAAAUACCCACGUUCCUCAAGCCUGGGCGGUUCCUGUGAACUGCGGGCCGAGGUUGCCCACCGCACGUGUCGGAAGUGCCUCUAGCCACGGAAGCCAAGACCUUUUCUGUCCAGUGCGCUUUUGCUUGUUUUUUUCCCAACAAGAAAAAAGAGGUUUCAUUUUCUUUUGUUUUGGGGCGGGUUUUGUUUUGUUUUUAUUUCUUGGGGGUUUUUUUUUUGGUCACGAAGGCUCACGAUUGUAGGCCCUGGGCAGCCUCUUUAGCUUUGUUUUGUACAAACUGACAGACCCUCCCCAUCCCAUUCACACCCCCCCACCCCCCGUGGUCCGGGUUUGGUUUUCACCUAGAGGGGAAGUCCAACUACAGAGUGCCCCCUUAUUGUCGGAUGGUGGUCCUUCCAGGGUCAUUCUUGGGAUGCUGAUACUAGCCUGGCCCUCAGGCUUCCACCCCAGCACCUCACCCUGGGCCCAGGUGCCCACUGGAUGGACCCGCUGCUCCCGUGGGAAAUUGCAGUGUUUGGUUCUGAGUCCCUAUGACCCUUCUCAGCUGUGUAGGAGUUUCAAAUCCCAGCUUUCACACGAUGCGAUGGUUCUUUGAACUCUGUGUUUUAUGUCAAGAUGACGAUUAUCUGGUUUGUUAACUUAUUUUGGUCAUUUAGGUUUGUUCUAUUUUGCACACUUUUGUAAUUAAAUAUAGCGAUGCUGAUAACAUA